UACGUAGGGGGGCAAGCGUUGUCCGGAAUCAUUGGGCGUAAAGCGCGUGUAGGCGGCUCGGUAAGUCUGCUCUGAAAGUCCAAGGCUCAACCUUGGGAUGCGGGUGGAUACUGCCGGGCUCGAGUCCGGAAGAGGCGAGUGGAAUUCCUGGUGUAGCGGUGAAAUGCGCAGAUAUUAGGAGGAACACCAAUGGCGAAGGCAGCUCGCUGGGACGUGACUGACGCUGAGACGCGAAAGCGUGGGGGAGCAAAUGGG
rnacentral:rRNA from 1 species